AAUAUACAUAUUAUUUGCUAAUAUUUUACAUAGGGUGCCAAAUUGAUUCGAAUUGGCCCUGUUCGAUUGCAUGGUUGAUGACAAUAUCAUAUAAAUUAAAUUUAAAUACAAGAAGCAAGAGUAGGGAGAAGAGUCAAACGUCAUCCCUUCGCCUUCUUUUUGAUUUUUCAACUGGCUUUGCCUGAGGCCCACAAAUGAGUAACUAAAUCUAACUAACUCGAAAAUAAAGCUAUAAAAUCGAGUAGAAUUAUCUACUCAAAUACUCGCAACUGCGAAUUAUAGUUUAAGACAAAUGAUUUGAAUUUAAUAUUGCAAUAAUAAAUCCUCAACGGCUUCCUAGGCCCAUUCUUCAAACAGUGUAUGCAACCGGGCCUUAAAAACAUGUGCAACUUCUCAAAUUUUGAUUUCAUAAUUUUUUGGAGCUUCAGUAAAUUUAUUAGCUUGGAUUAGAGUUCAGGAUGAAAAUCUAAAUUUAAGUUUCAAUUAUAUAUAAUACCUUUCCCAAAGAUAGAGCAAAUAAAGUAGAUAUGUUACAAAAGGCCAAUUUACGGAGAUAAGAAAACUUGUAGGAGGAAUGCACGGAAGUAUAUAAGUGUUUUGGUGAUCUCCAUAGAAUUGCUGGAUUUUCAUGACUAAAAUGGAAGAAAUCAAAUUCAUGUCAAUUAUAUUUAAUAUAGAUAAAUUCUUAAUUUAUUACCCAGUCUAAAAAUUCGUUCAUUUGUUCAAAAAAUGAAAGGAAAGAGUGAAAACCGUUCAAUGUCCAAGCCUGAUUUAUAGUGGCUGGGUUAAAACAUAGAAAAAAGCUUUUUACAACCACAUACCAAAAUUUUAAUGGGACCUAACUGAAUUCAUUUUUGAUUCCUCCUCCCACGUUUAUUUUCGUUAAACAAGUAGAAUCAUUUAAUAAUUAAAUGUAUCAUAUUAAAAUCCACCUAUAAAUUGUGGUAAAAAUAAUACUAGCACACAAACUUCUUGUAUAAUAGUACACACUAGCAAACAAAUAAUUAUGUAAAAUAGAAAAAUUAAUGACACAAUUCAAUAAUAAAAAGAAAAAACCCGAAGUCAUUGAUUAAAUGUAAUUUUAUGCCGUUAAGAGUUCUAAAUCAAUGUCACAUUACAAUGCAAUUCAUAAUCGUCAUUCCAGGGUAAAACACUCUAGUUCAUUUGCCGAUGUAAAUACGCUUAAAUUGUCUUAGAAGGUCACUUCCAUUUGUGUGUUCAUUUAGCAAGAUUAUUGUACUCCUUAUUAAGUUUAAAAACUCUUUAAUGUUCAAUGAAAUACGUUGAUUAUUUGGUUGUCGACCUGAAAAUAUUUAAAUUGCACACAUUAAAAGGCUUAUAUUAAGUAUAAGAUGAUGUUCACAUGAUGCGUGCGAAUGUCCAACUCAGUUGGCACUUCUGGAUAAUUACCAAGAGUGUGUACAUUUGAUGACAAUCAAGACACACAGGGGGAAGACUAGCAAAAUCGAAAAACAAGCUGUUGGGUACAUCCAUUUCAUAACAAUUAAGUAAUGAUUUACAAGGUCUUUAACCCCAAUCAUGGGCUAAGGAACAUACGAAUGUAGGAGAUGUUUUAACUAUCGAGAUUUAUCCUGUAGUUAGGUAUCAGAGAGAUCUCUAGAUCUAGUUCAACCUUCUUGCCCUCUGCAGUCACAUAGGCAACGAAGUCAGAUAUAAGGGCCAUGUUUUACACAAGAACUCGGGUUCUAACUAGGACAAUGCCGUAGCGAACAGUUGUGGAUGUGUAUUCUACAACUUGACAAUUCAGGUACUCAGGAUCAACAUAUGUAGGUACUACAUCCGCAUAAUUCACAAAUUGGCUACCUUUAUUGUAUUUCACUCCUCCAAUUACAGCAGCACUAUCUGAUUUAGAUGCAGAACUUUCGUUUUUACUAGGUUUAGAAUUAUGGGAACUAUGAUAGUUCUACUUGACUCAAUUGUCCCUUGAUCACCGCGACUAUCUUUAAUUCUUUUAUCACAAAUAACCUACGAAAGAGGUGUCGAUUUGAAAUACCCCCCAUAAAGUAGCUUAUGUCUCCAAUCCAUAUAGGCAUAACUGAUAACUAAUAACUGGGCUUGAGGGUGCCACCUGAGUUGCCCCAACAUUACUAACCCCAAAAGGACGGGUGGGAUCACUCAUGAAAGAAAGACUUCCACCAGACGGCCUAGCUCAAGGAGAGCCAAGAGAAAAUUCCUUGCCCACUCAGAAUACAGGUAGACUGUCAUGGGACCUGUUGAUGGGUUACUGUUAUAUUUGCAUGUUUUUACAAUUAAUUAGAUUAAACCUUUUUUUAUUUCAGACCCCUUAUUCUAGUCAUGUGCAUUCGCAUUAACAUUAACUGGUUUUCAUCACCAAUUCGUCUUUUAUCAUUUUACAAAUGCACUCUACGGUCGUAUUAAUUUCCCGUUUACAAUCAUUCCUCUCCAUUCCGUGACUCCCAUUUACUCUGUUAUCCCCUUGUACUUUCGGUGAUGAGAAUCCUAUGACUCUUAAAUUACAUUUAAGUAGAUACUACAGUUACCAUUGAGUACCUCAGAUGUGAUAUUGACCUGAUCAAUCAAGGAAUCAACACCACCAUCCGUUAUGAAUGGGUUAGACUCAUCUGCCUUAAAAUAAUUCCCACAAGUAAUAUCGAUGAGGCAACUCUUCCCAUCACCGAGGCUAUCUUUUGGUUUACAUUUUUUGGGGUUUGGAGUAAACAGCGAAAGUAAUUCAGGACGACUUCUCUUCAGGGUCAUCUUAGGUGGGGGAUCAUCUAUAUUAACGAGAUCACUGGUUGAGUGGGAUUUUAUAGACCGUUAAUAUGCAUAAUAACUAAGUAAUAUCUAUAAUAACUGAACAAGACCGUUAAUAUGCAUAAUAACUGAACAAGACCAUUAAUAUGCAUAAUAACUGAAAAAGAUGCAUGAAUUACUAUACUAUAUGGAUGAUCACCAUCUACGCAACCUCUGAAGCUCACCUUUUCAGUUAGUUAUUAAAAGGAUAUUGGUUAUUACCCUGAUGAAACUUAGGACUUUUAAUAAUGCCAUUAAUUAAAUGUGUGUUACUCUUAAAAAGUAAAAGAAUCCGUUCCUGAACAGCAGCAAGUCUUCGGGAGUAUUUAUGUAUUCCUCUAAUCACGGGGCGUAUAAGUAUUUACUCCAUUGUCGUCAUAUGGGAUUCAAAAUUUCAAAUUUUACUCCGAGACAGCAAGUGUACUUCCUUAUAGUGGUGGAGGACUUUUAUGAGAGGAAGAUAAAAAGCACCAAUCUGAUCCAUCAUUAAUUUGGAUGGGCUUAUCUGACCUUAAAAUUCAUCAAGGAGGGAUAUAAUAAUCUAUGUUGCUGGAUACAUUCCAGGAUCAUUAGUACACAAGUUUUCCUAAUUUAUAUACACAGCGUCAAAUAUAUGAUAUCUUUAAAAAUGAUAAAAUACGUUGAAGUUUUCGAGGAAGAGUUAUCAGCAUAAGUGUACGGAGAUAUAUCAUAUUCUAUCCAUAUAUUGCCUUUAUAAAAUUAUAGGGCUUUCCCUGUGGGCCAACAGGAUGGCUUCCCUCGCCUCAAAUGAAAUAGACCUGACAAUGACUCAUCCUGAAUAUUUUCCUUACCCCAUUCAGUCCAGAUCUUACUUUUAUCCUUUGGCCAUGACUCCAGAACCUUUAAAAACGCAACGUUCAUGUGACAACUCUGUUCGUCGUUUCCUCUACUGUUGAUCCAAUCAUUGACUCGGUAUAAGCCUCAUAUCACUAUAUUUUAUGAGCCGAUUGAUAAUCUCUUAAUGAUAUAAAUUCGAUAUUUCAACUUUUUCAAAUAUUAUAGAAUGAAAGCUUAAGAAAAAUGAAAAAUCCAAUGCUGAAGGUAAUCAGAUUAGGGUUUUUGUGAGCUCCUUAAUUUAAAGUAUUUUAUUUAGAUCAUUGUUACAUUCCAUAUUUAGUGUUUCUUAAAUCUUCAUUUAAAAUAACGGCCACUGUGACUGGUCGAUUUAAUUGCUUGCUCGAACUUCAUAUA
rnacentral:lncRNA from 1 species